CGGCAUUGUGAUCCAAAAAUCCAGAAUUGGAGCCACUUCUGACCUGCAAGCUGUAAAGGGCAGCUUCAAAACAUUCUUAGGGAGGCCAUGGAAGGAAUAUUCAAGGACUGUGAUCAUGCAAUCUGCCAUAAGUGAUAUCAUCGACCCAGCUGGGUGGCAUGAGUGGAGUGGCACAUUUGCCCUCGACACAUUGUUUUAUGGAGAGUAUGCUAACACUGGGGCUGGCGCUGGGAUUUCAAAUAGGGUGACCUGGAAGGGCUUUAAGGUUAUUACAAGUGCCACUGAGGCUCAGACUUUCAC
rnacentral:lncRNA from 1 species